GCCCGCCUAGCUCAAUCGGAUAGAGCGUCAGACUCUUAGUCUAGGUGGGUUACCCAUUCACUAUUACGUGAUCUGAAGGCUGCGAGUUCGACCCUCGCGGUGGGCU